rnacentral:rRNA from 1 species
CAAUAGCAUAUAUUAAAGUUGUUGCAGUUAAAAAGCUCGUAGUUGAAAUUCGGCCAUUGGCCUUUCUGUGAUCUAUGAGUCCUAACGGUACUCAUAGUAUUUUCAGAAGUUUACUGUGAAAAAAUUAGAGUGCUCAAAGCAGGCGAUAGCUUGAAUAUUAAAGCAUGGAAUAAUAAAAUAAGGCUUACUCCUUUUAUUGGUAUAUUGGGGCGAGUAAUGAUUAACAGAAACAGUUGGGGGCAUUUGUAUUUGAUAGUCAGAGGUGAAAUUCUUAGAUUUAUCAAAGACAAACUAAUGCGAAAGCAUUUGUCAAGAAUGUUUUCAUUAA